GACGAACCGUGCGAACGUUGUUCGGAAUCACUGGGCGUAAAGGGCUCGUAGGCGGCCAACUAAGUCAGACGUGAAAUCCCCUCGGCUUAACCGGGGAACUGCGUCUGAUACUGGAUGGCGUUGAGUUUGGGAGAGGGAUGCGGAAUUCCAGGUGUAGCGGUGAAAUGCGUAGAUAUCUGGAGGAACACCGGUGGCGAAGGCGGCAUCCUGGACCAACACUGACGCUGAGUGAGCGAAAGCCAGGGGGAGCAAACGG
rnacentral:rRNA from 1 species